GGGGGGUGGAGGGAGUUUGGCCUAGCAUAUUGGGAAGAUGAGUUAAUUUUUUUUCCGCUCCAGCUCAGCAAAUACUGAUUCAGAAGAUCUCUCCUUUAUACAUGCGCCAAUCUCAAGUAGACCAUCUAGACUACACUUGUAGCAAGCAAGAAGGCAAUCUGUAUCUGAAAUCAAGUAAUAUUUUUAAAAAGACCAAAUGAAAAAUAAAAAGCCCAUUACCAAUGGAAAUCCGUUCAGUUGGCUCAGUUCUUGCUUUUCUUUUCGACAAUCUAGCUAGGGAUAAGCAAAUGAUUUUUAUUAUUGAUGAUAAUUAGUCCUGGGAUGGUUUCACAUCUCUUCACUGGUCAGCCAGGAGAACUUGAGAACCUAUCAGUUUUUUCAACACCUGAGAAAAGGAACGACCUGAAGUAAAACUCCAAAUCAAUGGAGAGGACAGCACACUUGACCGGUGGCAUCUGGUCAGCUUUCCCUAGGUCACUGAACAGAAGCUAACCUAUUGUAAUAACUUGUUCCCCCACGUUUCCUCUAACCUGGCCAAAAUGGGAGAAAAAAGGGAAUAGCAACAAUAGACUGUACAUUUCUCUACUUUAAAAAAAAAAAACUACUACCUGCUUGGAUUUUUAAAUAUUGCUCAAAAAAAGGUCUUUACCAGCUGAUGCAGAAUUCAUUUUUAACAUGACUGAUGGGGUUAAAUUCAUAUCAAAAUAUUAAAAAUAAAUCUCAUUACUGUUCUUAGUACGUACAUGGUUCCACAUCAUAGGGUGUUUGUGUUUAACUUACAAAACUGAUAGGUCAUGCUCUGGUAUCAGUUAAGGAGUUGCCACCUACCCUUCCACCCCUAAACCACUGGUGACAUCACUAGCAGAUUUAUAUGUUUACAGAUUAUAAUGUAAUAUGGAGGGGAUAGCUCUUGACAUUUAUAUUUUGAUCAUUUAAUCAGAUGAAUUUGACUUUAUUGCAUUUAAUUACAGUAUCUUUCUAAGAAAGCCUCUCACCAGUGUGCUCAUCCAAUUGCUCUAAAGAAACCUCUUUCCAAGAAGCAAAUGAUUCAAAUGAUUUAAGAGAAUCCCAAACCCAAAACAACUCUUAUAAGGGAUGCAGAUAACAGAAAAAGAGUUAAAUAAAACAACAAUGGUUCCUGAAUUUAAAGGAAGGAUGCCCACUUCUCUCUCUCAAGAGGCAGAUGGUCAGCUGAAAAAUAAAAACAUUGCAUCAAUAGAACACUCCGAAUAAAAAAAUUGUAGCCAUCUCUGUUCAUGCAAUAUCAAAUGUUAAAAAAAAAAAAAAAAAAUCCCAAACGCGAAAACAACUCAUAAAACUAACAAAAGGAAGGACAAUGUUGCCCGGAUCUUAUGACCUGAUUGAUGGUUGAGGGUCCUGAUGGGGCUGUUCAGAAUGUUGCUCAUGGGACAGAGAGGUCUGGAGUUAACGAAAUCAAGUUUGCGGACCCUGGAGGUGGUGACCACCUCAGAGUAGGGUACAUGCUGUCUUCAGUCCGUGAGUUCUCAGAUCAGCAGCUUCAAGAAAAUGACAGCUAAGCAAGAGGAUUCCAACACAUGGCUAUCUUGGGUCUUGGCCCAAGUUCUUUUUUUCACUCAAUUUCCUUUUAAGUACUAUUGAGUAUUCCUGUUUUGGGUAGUGAUGAGUCACUUUAGUAACCACUAUGGGCAGUGGUUUGUAAACAGACAUUGACAAGUACAAACGGCAAUGCAAUAUUUGACCCAGACUUUAAAAGAAUAGGAGGCGAUGGUGGAAAUGAGGUAACUCUUCCCCAACACGUGUGAACAGACAGCUCCUGCUCUUCUAAUGCUCUAUGUCCAUUAGGAGAGAGUAGGGCUUGUCAACAGGAUGGUUACAUAAAGAAGAAGCUACAGAAGAGAAAAAAGAAAGAUUCAGAUUCAAAUUUGAUUCUUAAAGUCUUAAAAAAUAAAAAAAAAAAGGGGGCUUUUCUACAACUGUGAAAGAACAGCAGUGUAUCAGUUAUAGGGAUGACUUCCCGGAGCACAGCUGGGGCUGAGCAGCCCAGCAGCGGUAGCACCAGAGGCCAGGGAAGAAGAGGAGACCUCGGCUUGGCCCGGAGGCGGUGCGGUGCCAGGAACACCAAUCAGGACAGAAGGGAAUGGGAAUGGGGGAGAAAGGGUAGCAGAGACCACAUGUGAAAUACAGGAUACCACAUGGCAAGUAUCUGGGAGGAGCUGGAGCCGUGCAGAUGGUAGCAUUUGAAAUCCACCAGACAAGGCAGGAAAGCAGGAGACUCUUUCAUCCCUACUUCUUUUGCCCAACAUAAUAACCAUGUGUACAUAUGCAUACCAAACACUGACUAAAAAGAACUCACAAAAGGGCACACAUUGUUUGGGUAAAAAUAUAUUUUCCCCCACUUUUAUGUCUUGGCACUAGUGAUAUAUGCAUAGAUUAGCUGUCCACCACUCUCCUACCUUAACAGACACCAAAUUACCGAGCAUGUUUGCUAAGUGAUUACUUUCUUACUUGAAAAAAAUGAUAUAGUUCAUAUCGAUACAAUUAUUUUAGUUUUUAAAAAGGACGAGUGUCUAACAUGCAGCUUACAUAUAUGACAAUUCUGCAUUAACACUGAAAGUAGAUUACACAACACUUUUUUUUUAGAAACACAUUGGUUAUUUUCAAACAGCAAAAUGACAGUGUUCUACAACUACAGUUUAAGGCAUAUCAGCAUAUUUUAAAAUUAAGAAAUAGACAAAGUUCUAAUGCUGUUCACAGCUUUUCAAUUUAUUUAAAAAAUUCCCUUCAUACCUACAUACAAUCUAGACUUUGUAGGUCAUAAUUUCCACUAAAGAGUCAUCACAUAUGUAUCCUGUCAAUGGAACCAAGACUUCUGGAAGCUGAGACUUGACGAUUUCAGACACUUGCAAAUGGCAAAGCAAAGGGAUCUGAAAGGACGGUUUGGGAGGACCACACAGAGAACAGUAUGACAUGGGUUGAUAACAGCUGAAACCAAGAUUCAACAGUCUAUAUGUGACACACUAAUGGAUAUGUCAAGAAAGUGAAGAAACCCAGUCCAUUUGUUUGAGGUGCACAAGAUAUGAAGACUAAGUGUUAUUGCUGGUGAGAUUCCAAAGCAGAGAAGGAAGGUAAUAAAGAACCUGUGCUCAGUGUGACAUUAAAUGUUCCCCUGGUUGAGAUGCCCUUUCUGGACAAAACUUUGACCAGUUAAGAAGGAGCCUAGGUUGGGAAAACAUAGUCUCUAACUGCUAAUAAAUUCCCAAAAUGCUUCUCCAUCACAUUCUACUGCAUGUACAACUGUUACGAGUAUCUAAAGUCCAGAAGCAAUGGUCAUUAUGGUUGAACAAAAGAUUUGGGGAGAGGCCAGCUAGAUCUGGCAAAAAAACAAAACAAGAGGUGUGUUCACUGCUAGCAGUUAGCAUGAGGGAAAGACCAUUAAACCAAGAUCAUCAAAAAAAUUAAGCAGUCAUAAAAGCAGCUUAGCAUAAAAAACAUUUUCCUCUUGAUUUUCUCCAAUGGAAGGUGGUAGUUUCUUAUUCUACCUUUAUUUACAUAGUCAGAACCAAGGACACUCUAAUCUCCAGCGAUGCCCACAAUGCUGUGUAGAACACAGCUGGGAACAAUAAUUUCUGACCUCCAUACUGGUAUCAAGAAAAAACUGAAUUUAUAUUUCUUGUGGAAAAGGUACAAAUGUGGUUAUUUUAAAUAUAUAGUUUUUUUUUUUUUUGUAAGCAAAGGCUACUCAAACCAUUACCUCCCUAUACCUCCCUCCAAAAAAGGAAAAAAAAAAAAAAUU